rnacentral:rRNA from 1 species
CGCGAAGAACCUUACCAAAUCUUGACAUCCUUUGACCACUCUAGAGAUAGAGUUUUCCCCUUCGGGGGACAAAGUGACAGGUGGUGCAUGGUUGUCGUCAGCUCGUGUCGUGAGAUGUUGGGUUAAGUCCCGCAACGAGCGCAACCCUUAAGCUUAGUUGCCAUCAUUAAGUUGGGCACUCUAAGUUGACUGCCGGUGACAAACCGGAGGAAGGUGGGGAUGACGUCAAAUCAUCAUGCCCCUUAUGAUUUGGGCUACACACGUGCUACAAUGGACAAUACAAAGGGCAGCUAAACCGCGAGGUCAAGCAAAUCCCAUAAAGUUGUUCUCAGUUCGGAUUGUAGUCUGCAACUCGACUACAUGAAGCUGGAAUCGCUAGUAAUCGUAGAUCAGCAUGCUACGGUGAAUACGUUCCCGGGUCUUGUACACACUGCCCGUCACACCACGAGAGUUUGUAACACCCGAAGCCGGUGGAGUAACCAUUUAUGGAGCUAGCCGUCGAAGGUGGGACAAAUGAUUGGGGUGAAGUCGUAACAAGGUAGCCGUAUCGGAAGGUGCGGCUGGAUCACCUCCUU